rnacentral:rRNA from 1 species
UACGUAGGGUGCAAGCGUUAAUCGGAAUUACUGGGCGUAAAGCGUGCGCAGGCGGUUGUGCAAGGCCGAUGUGAAAUCCCCGGGCUUAACCUGGGAAUGGCAUUUGGGACUGCAAGGCUGGAGUGUGGCAGAGGAGACUGGAAUUCCUGGUGUAGCAGUGAAAUGCGUAGAUAUCAGGAGGAAUACCGAUGGCGAAGGCAGGUCUCUGGGCUGACACUGACGCUCAUGCACGAAAGCGUGGGGAGCAAACAGG